rnacentral:rRNA from 1 species
AGGAAUUGACGGAAGGGCACCACCAGGGGUAAACCGCUUCGCGCAGCCGCAGUAGCUCUGCCCCAGAAAGCAGCCCGAAAGGGUCAGUGGUGUUCCUGCCAGCGCUCCGGCGCGGCGAACUAAUUGCUAGUCUCCUCUGGAGGCGACACCCUCAAAUUGCGGGAAAAUCCUAAAGCCAGUGUCACCAAGCCGGCGCCGAAAGGGCGUCGGUGGCCGGGGUAGCGACCUAGGGUACGGUAAAAGCACACUGGAUAAUGCAAUGGACGAUCCGCAGCCAAGCCUCGUCGCCGCAGGGCACGGGGAAGGUUCAGAGACUACAUGGGGGUGGGUAGUGCACUGUCUGGGGGCUCCGGCCCCCGAGCGCCCGCUCACAACACUGCUUAAGAUAUAGUCCGGCCGUGCUGGAAACAGCACGGGCUGGCAAACCCAGAAACGGGAGCCUGCGGCUUAAUUUGACUCAACACGGGGAAACUCACCAGGUCCAGACACAAUGAGGAUUGACAGAUUGAGAGCUCUUUCUUGAUUUUGUGGGUGGUGGUGCAUGGCCGUUCUUAGUUGGUGGAGUGAUUUGUCUGCUUAAUUGCGAUAACGAACGAGACCUUAACCUGCUAAAUAGCCUGUAUUGCUUUGGCAGUACGCUGGCUUCUUAGAGGGACUAUCGGCUCAAGCCGAUGGAAG